rnacentral:rRNA from 1 species
UGUCCAGGGGGCCGCCUUCGCCACCGGUAUUCCUCCAGAUCUCUACGCAUUUCACCGCUACACCUGGAAUUCUACCCCCCUCUACAAGACUCAAGCCUGCCAGUUUCAAAUGCAGUUCCCAGGUUGAGCCCGGGGAUUUCACAUCUGACUUAACAGACCGCCUGCGUGCGCUUUACGCCCAGUAAUUCCGAUUAACGCUUGCACCCUCCGUAUUACCGCGGCUGCUGGCACGGAGUUAGCCGGUGCUUCUUCUGCGAGUAACGUCAAUCACUAAGGUUAUUAACCUUAACGCCUUCCUCCUCGCUGAAAGUACUUUACAACCCGAAGGCCUUCUUCAUACACGCGGCAUGGCUGCAUCAGGCUUGCGCCCAUUGUGCAAUAUUCCCCACUGCUGCCUCCCGUAGGAGUCUGGACCGUGUCUCAGUUCCAGUGUGGCUGGUCAUCCUCUCAGACCAGCUAGGGAUCGUCGCCUAGGUGAGCCAUUACCCCACCUACUAGCUAAUCCCAUCUGGGCACAUCUGAUGGCAUGAGGCCCGAAGGUCCCCCACUUUGGUCUUGCGACGUUAUGCGGUAUUAGCUACCGUUUCCAGUAGUUAUCCCCCUCCAUCAGGCAGUUUCCCAGACAUUACUCACCCGUCCGCCGCUCGUCACCCGAGAGCAAGCUCUCUGUGCUACCGCUCGACUUGCAUGUGUUAGGCCUGCCGCCAGC